rnacentral:lncRNA from 1 species
CCGCUUCACAUUCUCAUAAAUAAAUUCCUGCUGAAAUAAAGCUUCAAUUAAAAUCCUGGAAAGAGCCAAAGAGCGAGCAGUGGCUCCAGCCUGGGUGGGGUUCAUCGAUGACAAAUUGUACUUGAAAAUGCACAUACCACCGCCUGUCGUAACAGAAGCAUGAAACAAUCUUCAGCAUCCAGAGGGCAAUGUCUCUAUCUAGGCCACCCGCGGGAUCCAUUACUUCAGGCCGCUCCCCGCCGGUUUC